rnacentral:lncRNA from 1 species
ACUCCGCUCACUCCCCCGCCCCGGCCAAUCAGAGGCCGCCGCUCCCCGCCUCCCGCGCCCUCCCGCGCCGGCCCGCACCCUCCAGCCCCGCCGGCCUCUUCCUAAAUCCCGAGCGAAAGCCCAAGCUGAACAUGAACUCUGCCCGGAGGCGACGGGCUGCGGCGGAGGGGGAGAGAGAGGAGGACAGGCUGCGACCCCGGGCUGGGGACGCCAGGGCAGGGACAGCGAGCAUCAGGAAGGAGAGCGUCCGGGGAACUCGAGUGGCCGCGCCCUGGGUCCUGCACCGUGAGGCUGGGGGGACCAGGACCGGCGGGCGCCCACCUUGGUCCUGAGCCCAGCUGCCGACGCUGGGCCAGCACCCUCUCCACCGCCGCCCUCCAGUGAGCAGAGCUGGGCUCAGGCAGCAGCCCCUGGGCGCGGGAAGGUAGCGGGAGCUGCAUUUAGGGGAGGGGGGAGGUAGCAGGAGCUCCGCCAGUGGGAACCUUGGAGUGAAUUCGUCGGCGGGUGCCAAGUCGAAGCGCCGACCUCCUGUCUCUGGACUGGGGCCCGGACCCCUGCGUCCCCAAACUGCGUCCCCGCCUUGCUCGUCGCCCGGUGCCUUCCUUAGGCGCAGCAGACCCUCGGUAAACAGCGGUUAAUUCGAUGGAAUCGGAUCACAGGGCCCUCGGUGAAGCAGAAAGGCGGAGGAAAUCCAGGAGGCAGAAGUGAGGACCCUGGCGCCUGGCGCCGCUGCGUUGUUCGUAUAAGAAGAGGCAUCCCGGAAGGGGCUUCAAACCACUUAGGACCGACUGCUGAAACGAAUCCAAGCUUGUGGUGUCUGCAGAAUUUAACUGUCCGCCUCAACCCCAGUUUUUGUUUCUAAGAUUAUCGAAAACUGUGCGGUUUGAGUGAUGUGCUACAAAGUGUUUAAAACAGAUUGUUUCCCAAAUUAGGGGUUUCCACACAAGAAAUCGCUGCUGUCGGCAAACACAGGAACUAUCUAUGGUUAAGACAAGGUGGUGUUCGUAACCAAACUAUAAACCUACAUAUACGAGGUGGUAAGAGAACCAGACCAAUGAACAGUUUCAGGCUGGCGUGGUGUGCCCGUGAACAAAGAAUUGUAAUACUGGCAAAAAUCUAAAUUGCUUUCUUUCCCUUUAUUUUCUCAUCACUAAAAUUAGGAAAAUGAACAGAUAUGUCAAAUCUCUUCUAACACCCAUGUUCUGUAACUCUCCUCGUAUGUACCUUAUAAUAAGACAAAGGUAAAGACAUUUCCAUGUGCAGCGAGGAAAAGUAAUAAUAAAAAUUAAAACAACUAGCAAGUAUGAAGCCCUCUUUUUAUACGGUAUGUGCUGUAUAAGCACUUCCCUCAUCCACCUCUAUGUUUUCACAGCACCUCUCAAGGGCUUGGACACGUGCAAAUGCAAACUGGCAAAGCCAGGAGUCAAGCCAGGCUGCUCAGUGGCCUUUGUGCUUCACCCCAGUUUAAUGCACCCGUCUUCAGAAGGGACAUCGUGUAUUAGGUGCUUCAACACAAGAUCCACGAAUAUCUCGUACAUCCCUAAAAUCAAGCAAAUGUCAUCUGAACCCAAUUACUGGGACAGCCCCCUCAUUACUCCCACUUACUUUUAGCCGUAUCUUCCCCAAUCCAAUCUCAAGUGUGAGCCCCAAAAUACUUCUGAUUUUUCACGCCUCCACUUAAAAAUCUUUUGAUUAUGUCAUAUUGCCGUUAGGGUAAAGUUCAAACAACUCAGCUGAUUUUGAGGGCUACAUUGGUGGGUGGUGGAGUACUGCCCGCUUUCCCUUCAUACUGUCAUGACAGUGAGGUUCUGAACUGUUCUUUGUGCAAACCCCACACGCUCUCUGCUCUCUCCAUUCCCAUUUUUGCACGUGUGAGUCUGCUGUCUCCUCUUCUUUGCUUCUCCUUUUCCUAAGAUUUGCCAAGCCAACUACUCUACACCUCCAUCGGAUUUUAGUUUACAUGUCUCUCCCCAUGUUUCUCCCCACUAGAAGCCUCCGUUGAUGAUCCCUUUCUAGACUGUGAUGGACGUACCUCCCAUAGCUCCCAUUGCACCAUUGUACUAAACUUGGACCACUGCAACUGUCAUGUGUCUAUUUAUCCCACAUGUAUAUAAACGCUAUAUGUUGUUUAUCACUAUAUCUUCAGUAAUAAUAAACAGGUAACAUAAUUGCAUAAGUGUGUAUAUCAUAGACCAUCAUGAAGUGUUUAUUGACUGAGAAAAGAAAUAUACAUCGUUGUGAACAUAAUGAAAGACGUCAUUUUUCAGAACAAACAGUUUGAUAAUAGAUGGUAUUGAUGAGGGGGUAUGAAAACAAAUGCUUCCUCAAAUUUUUGAUAUACUUUAACUAGUAAAAUCUCUCUGAUGGUAAAUUUUACAAUAUCUAUCCAUGUUUGAAAUGCAUGACCUAAUUAACUAAGCAAUUUCACUUCUAAAAAUUCGUCCUCUGAUAUACUUGUAGGUAUACACAAGGAUUUAAGAUUGAAAACAACCUAAAUUGUUAUUCAUCCAAACAAUGGAAUUCUCUGGAACUGUCAAGAUACAUAAGGCAAGUUAACAUUCAUUAAUAUAAAACAAUCUCAAAUAUAUAAUGUUAACAAAAAAAGAAAAACAAUGCUCAGAGUAUUUAGUAGUAUGCUAUCAUUUAUGGAGAAAAGAAGAUCUAUAGAGAUAUAAUAUUUCUGGAAGGAUACAUAAGAAAAUGGUCACAGUGAAGCGGAGUUGAAUGGCUCUAGCUAGAGUCUUGAGGUUUUGCCUGAUUCAAUAAGUACAUGCCAACAGAAUGUCUCCCAGCCUAUCAGAAAAGCCAGCUGGACCUCUCAAGUGUGUAUUUAUAUGUUUAAAUAGUGUAUUAAUGGGUUGCUAAUCAGAGGAAUAUUGGGUUUUUAAAAAAACAGUCAUUGAACAUUAACUCUAACUUAAGACAGAGCGACAUUUGGGAAGCACAAAUAAUUCCAGCAAAAGACAAAUGAAUUCUGUUGUGGGGUGAUCUCCUGAGAAGUUACUUAAAAUAUUAGUCAUUCUCUUAGACAAUUUAUUUUCCUUUCUAUUUUUCAACGAUCACCAAGUAACCUUGUAAUUAUUCAUCCUGCUUCUUAGUUUCCUUGACACUAAAAAGUGGAAUCCUUGAAAAUGGGUCAAAAGCAUUCUAAUCACAAAAAUAAAUUGACAUUCUGCUUUGAAACUGCAUUGCAUGUGAUUUUGAGUAACAUAAGUACAUAACCAAGAAAAUGAGCAUCUCUGGGUAUAUUGAAACAUCCAGUGUCUGGACCUGGAAGUAUAAUCUCAGACCUCAGAUGGACAAUAUUUCCAUGACUGGGCCCAAAGCCAUGCCCCAUUUGGUGAGCUUCCUAACUCACCUUUCUAUUAUUAAUUACUGUUCAAUCUAAAACAGGUGUCAUCCUAGUCUUAAAUACCAACCUUGAGUCUCCUAAAUGCCGAGCUUGAUAAAAGGGCUUCAAUGUGAAGUUUGAAAGAAAGAAGAAAAAAAAUUUAAGUCUAGAUAAGACUGCAAGACCAGAUAAUAAUGAGAACAUUAUAUUUAACAUUUUUAAAUGUAUGUAGUUUUCAGGAAUUUCAGGAAUUUUCCAGAAAUAACACAGAAUGUUUUUUUAAAAAGUGACACAUUUAAACAUGCAUAUGCACACAUUGGAGACCUCAGUUAUGUAUAAAACCAGGAAAAGAUAAUAGAGCUUUUGAAAAUGUUGUCACUGAGGAAAAAAAGAAAAAGAAGUUUCCAGGAUUAAGUUUCCAGGAUGUAUCAUGUUGUACAGAAAUGAUAACUGAGCUCUCUUGUCAAAGCCUACAAGGCCCCACUUGGUCUCUCCUGUGCCUCCUCCAUCCCUGCAGUCCCUCACCUUCUGACUCAGCUCUCCUAACAUCCCAUUUCUCAUACAUGCUGUAUUAGUCCAUUUUCACACUGCUAUAAAGAACUCCCCGAGACUGGGUAAUUUACAAAGGAAAGAGGCUUAACUGACUCACAGUUCUGCAUGGCUGGGGAACCCUUAGGAAAUUUACAAUCAUGGCAGAAGAUGAAGGGAAAGAAAAGACCUUCUUCACAUGGCCGUAGGAGAGGCAGAGCAGAGAGUGAAGGGGGAAGAGCCCCUCAUAAAACCAUCAGAUCUCGUGAGAACUCACUCACUAUCUUGAAAACAGCAUGGGGAACCACCUCCAUGAUCCAAUCACCUCCCACCAGGUCCCUCCCUCGACAUAUGGGGAUUCCAGUUCGAGAUGAGAUUUGGGUGGGGACACAGAGCCAAACCACAUCACAUGCUGAGCUUAUUCCUGCCUGCCCGUAAAGCUCUACCUCAGAGGUUCCCAGACUUUCUCAGUUCACACCACCCUUUACUGAAUGUCUCAGUAAUUAUUUUUCCUGGCACUUCUAGGCUGAGAUUUAUGAAGAUGAACCUAACACUUAUGUUUAUUAAGUAUUCAGAUGCUAACAAUUCAAUAAACAUUUACUUCUUGACAACAUUAGUAGCUAUUUGAAAAAAACAUAAAUUGAAAGAAAAAAUGUUUGUACUUCAUUUGUAAGCAGCCACAAUCACUUACCAAUGGGAUAGUAAUGGGCAUGACACAACCUCUCAAAUCUUAGGAUCAUAUUAGACACCACCACCUUCAUUUCCUGUUCCACACUAAUUUUCAUGUGGUAUUGCUCCUUAAUACCACAUGAAAUUGCAACCACCAAAACCCAGCUUUGCAAACAUAAUGAUGUCACUGAAAGAAUGUAGUGUAAUCUAGUGUUGAAACUAUCAACUACAUUGAGUCAGUAGUAUGCAUGGUGUCUAACAAAUGUCAAGUAUCUCUGAGUUUCUUUCAAAAUUUUAAUAUAUCCUGCGGUGCCCCUGUGAAUAUACGGCAGAAACCUGAGCACCUCCAUGAACCUGAGCACAAUUCCUGAACUAUGGUUCAUAUUUUUGUAUUGUGUUUGUUUUUGUCUGAGUUUUCUAGAAAACAGAUCCUGAGGCAAAACUUACAAGCCAAGACUUUAUGUGAAGUUGUAAUUCCAGGACUCAAGAAUGAAGGAAAAAGAGAAUCAAGGCUGAAAAGGAGGGGAAAGUAAAUUCAAGGUGGCGAGUUAUGAAUGACUACAGCAUCACAAAACAACAUACCUGCUUUCUUGGUCACCAGCACUUCUUCCAGACAGGACCUACAUCAUUAUAUCCAGAAACAUUCUGUCCACAGGAGAGAGUGGAGAUUCUCUGCCAAUGUCUUCUUGUCUCCUGUUGAAACUGGUUGAAGUUUGUCCCUUAGAGAACUAAUUAAUUCACCCUCACCUCCAGGUUCUGUUACUGGCUCUUUAUGGCAACUGCUAGGGAACCCAGAUCCCCCAGUGAUUGGAGGAACCUCUGAGGAUACAGACUGAUUGCACCUGAGCACCAAACUUGUGAGUCUCCUUCUAAUGCAAUCUCAGUGGAAUCCAGUCACUGGGAGAGGCUGAGGUCACUGGCACAGUUGGGAUAUGAGGCACUGGCAAUGGCAAUGGUGGCUUGGGCUGGCCACUGAGCAAGCAAAGACACAAAGGUGUGAGAGAAUAGAUGGAAGCCAGCCAUUCUGGGGACAUAAAUUGUGUCUUAUGUGCUCCAAUUCUUCUUAUCAUUCAGGUCUUACUUCUCAUGUUAUCUCAUCAGAGAAGCCUCUCGCUCCCUAAACUGCCCUUCUCAGCCAUUAGCUAACAUAGAACUGUGUCUGUGUUAAACUGUUCCCGUGUUCAACCUAGAGUUGAAGAUUGUCAGACUUAUAUCAUGGCCAUAAAAAAUAUGAAGCUACAGUGGGAGCUUGCUGAAUUAGUAUGGAGAAAAAUAUUUUAGGUUCUAUUGAUAGGAAUUGAUUUCAACAGGCAGUGUCUAAGCUAGAUUUAACUAAAAAUAGAACUAUUAUAUUGCAAGGAGGGAAGAGGUCUUUAGAUUACCCAGUCCAGCCCCCUCUCAUGCAUGGUGCUCCCACAGCAUCUCUUCAUGUGAUUUUUUUUUUUAGACUUAAACAAUUGAAGUUACAGAGGAGUCACUACUUUCUAAGACAACCUAGUCAUUUUCAACAGGCUCUGUCAUAAAGUGCUUUCCAUUUUUUUUUUUUAUCAUUAUUCCUCAUUCGAACUGCUGGUGUACCAAAAAAACCUAUGUAUAAUUUACAAUGACUGUACUUGAGCAGCUAGUUUGCGGGGGGCAAAUUGAGGAAUUAGCUUGCAUUCCCACUCAAUUUCCUCUUGCUGUGUUCUGACUCUCACUCUCUCAGGCAAAAGUCUUUGGGAUCCAGAGUCUGACAUUCAUUGCAUUCACUAUUUUUCUUGGUUACUUAUCAAGAGCAGGCCUGAUCUGCAGCAAACUCAAUGAAGUCACCAAUAAAUUUCCUCCCAAAAAGGAUAAGGUUGGCCUCAGAAUGUGCAAUGCACUCCUGGAAACCUUAAUUCAUUCUGACAGUCAUUUGUUUUACAGGCAGUUGGUAAAUGUCUACUUGUAAUUAUAAUGUACUGUUCAAGGUACCAGUAAUUCAGUGAGGAAAAACUAAAGACCCUGCUCUUUUGGUGCUAAACAUUCCAAUGUUCCACUAAUUAAUAACUUCUGUGUAUAGUUAUUAAAAUCCAUAUUAAAACAUUCAGCUGGACUCUCAUUCAAUCUGCAUUCCUGUAUUUGUGUGCAAAGUUUGGUUGGUAAACUAUGCCUAAUAUUCUUUUUAUUGCAUUUCCCUAAGGUAUCAAACAAGAAAUGCUAUCAAGGAAAAUGAUGCUAAUCUAAUAUGACUUUUUAAUUAAUCCAUUUAGAUUUGCAGGGAACAUAUAUUUACUGUUUCAGCAUAUUACAAAGACUUUUUGAGCCUCUUCGUGUAUGAACAUUCUGCUAAUGCUAAGGAUUCAAAGAUGGAUACAAUUAGAUAACUUCCCUGGAAGAGACUACCAUUUAAUUGUAAUAAAUGAAAACCAUUUCCUUUCGUCUUCACUUCUUUUUACGUAGAGUAAUGAAAGUCAAGUGGCAAACACCUUGACCUUUUAACUUAAAAGCCAUUCACAUUCCCUUUCUCCAUCUUCCUAGAAUAUAGAGAUGUACAAGAUGAAAUGCUUUCUUUUCCACUGCCCUUAAGUGAAGUGUGACUAUGUGACCUGGUUCUGAACAAGGAGAUCAAAGCCAAAAUAAUCAAAUGGAGCUUCUUCUGGAGAUGUGUUUUAUUAGUACAGAAAGAUAAUAUGCCCUCUCAGUCCUUUGCCCUUUUCCUUCUUCAUGCUUAGAGAGGAGCUCAAUGCCCACAAGUAUAAUAACCGUCUUGCAACCAUGAAAAUGAAAACCAUUCACUAAGCAUGGAAGAGUCAGAAAAUGUAAUAGGCCUUAGUCCUUGAUGACUUCUUUGAGCAGUUGCCAGCCGACUACAGUCCACCUACUGCUAGACUUUUUAUUAUGUAAGGAAAUUAAACUCUGAUCUGUAUAAGCCACUGUUAAGUGGAUUUAUUUUUUUCUUUACUUGCAGCCAAAUGCAUUCUUAUAACAUGGCACAAAUAAAUUCAGAAAAAUACUUGAUAUAUUGAUUGAAAUAUUCAUAAUAAUCCAUAUAAAAUAAGAUAUUUGGACUAUCUUGUCCCUAAAAUUAUACUUUUAUGGAUAAUUUCCAAACUUAACUAUAAAAUUAGCAAUAUUACUCUUUAAUCAAAUAAUCUCACUUCUAGAAAUGCAUCUUAAGAAAAAAAUCCCAAAUGAAGAUUCCAAGUAAAGAAAGAUAUUUGUUAUAGAAUUGUUUAUAAUGUUAAAUUAAAGAAAGUGACUUAGCUGGUCAACAAUAGGAAAAUAAUUAAGUAAAUUUUUCAAUGUCCAGUGGAGGAACCUUAUGCAGACCUCCAAAAUAAUAGUUGUGGGUCUAAGUAGAAAUAAUACAAAUUGCUGAUGAUGUGCUAAAUGAAAACACUAGGAUAUAAAAUUAAGUGAUACCAUCCUUGAAACUAUAUAGAAUAUGAAUAAACAAAGAAAAGGAACACAAAACAGGAAAUUAGUUGACUUUAAAGAUAACUCUUAAUUUUUAAAUUAUUUAUAGUGUUACACUUGUAAGACAUUUUAAAUGAUAAAUAUUAUUUUAUUAAAUACUGUAUUAUUUUAAAAUAUAUCUUCUCUUGUGCCUCUACCAGGGACAGAGGUAUUAUAAACCUAUGGUUUAGAACACUGGAAAAAUAUAAACAGAGCUAUAGAUUUAAACAAACAACAUAAAACAUUUUAAUUCAGUAUAUAGAGGUAAAAUUGGGAAUGCUCAUAAAGAUUAGAAUGGUUCCACUCAAGAAUGAACAUGAAAUGUAAAGUCAAAUAAGGUAAAGAAAUUUGGUUAUGGUUUUGUUUUCCUUGAGUGUCAUGCACAAUGAAGUUAUUUUAAUAAUUAAGGUUGUCUUUUGCACAAAUGAAAAUGGCAAUAAUAAGAUGUCAGAGCUGUAAGGGAUGUUGGAGAUUAUCUGUCAUCAUCUUUCACUCACAAAUUAAGAAACAGACCUUGAGAAGAUAAAUGACUCACCCAAGGUCACAUAAGUAGUCAGUGGAGAAGGAGCAAUGAAGUUCAGGUCUUUUUCAAUGUUAUUCAUCCCCCAGAAUAAACACGCAUUAAAUAAGCAUUCAUUAAGUAGCUAGCUAUUCUGUGCUAGCUGUAUUUGGACACUGUGAAUAUACGGGACACUGUGUUUCACACUCUACACAAAGAUAAGUUGUGGACAUAUCCUACCCUUAAAGGAUCAGAGUUUUGUGGGGUGAACAUUAGGGUAAUAAUUAUAAGACAUAUUGAUAUAAGUACUUGCAUUCUACUAAGUUCCAUGUGCCUUGGGGCAUGACCUUGAAGGACAUAACAUAACAUUUGGUGUCUGAGAAGUCUCAGGAAAGAAAUGACUUUUGCCUUAUCUCUAAAGGUUUGAGUGAAAUUUUACCACCCAGAAACAGCACAUUGCAAAAGCACAGAAAAAUGAAAAACUUGGGUGUUCUACAGAAUGCAGAAUACAUUGAUAUGGCACAAAUUUGGAAUGGGGGUAGGUGGCAAGGAAGAAGGGGAGGCAGAUGAGGCUAGAGUGGGGCAAGUUACAGACACUUGGAGAGAUUCUUCUAUUCUGAGGAUUUUGAAAUUUGUGGAAUAGGAAGAUAAAAUACAUGGAUUAUUCCUAGGCAGGAAAAAUGGUAUAAUCAUAUAAUGUAAGUUUCAGAAAUGUAUCAAGGUGUGGAGGACAAAGCUGGACAGGAAGAAGCAGGAAGACAAGUUAUGAGGCUAUUGAGGUAGUCUGUGCAAGAUAUACUAAGGACCUGAUAUGAGGAAGUGACAGUGGGCUAGGAAAGGGAAUAAAUACUUGAAAGAUAUUUCUGAGGUAUAAUUUUUAAAAUUUUAACAAAUUGGUUGUAAAUAGGGAAAUGGUGGAAUAAGAGUUAAAUCCAACCAUCCUGAAGUAGUUUAAUCAAUAAGUAGCUCUAGAAAUUUUAGGCAAAUUUAAAUAACACAAAAACCCUAAAAGAAUUUAAUUUGCUCCUAUCUGUACGUCACAAAGUGAUGCUCAAAACUUCCAUAAUUAGCACAUCAAAUCUCUUGGUAAUCAAAUGCAAGUUUUGCAAGGGAGAUCUUGAAUUAAGAAUAUAUAUCACACUUACCAAGACUGAAUCAGGAAGACAUAGAAAUAUGAAUCAGAUCUAUAACUAGUAAUGAGAUUGAAUUAUUAAUCAACUAUCAAACAAAGGAAAGUCCAGGACCAAAUGGGUGUCACUGGUGGAUUCUGCUAAACGUUUAAAGAAGAAUUAACACUAAUUAUCCUCAGACUCUUCCAGAAAAUUAAAGAGUUCCAAACUCAUUCUAUAAGGCCAGCAUUAAUCUUAUACCAAACCCAGACAAAAACACUUCAGGAAAACUAUAGACUAAUAUCCCUGAUGAAUAUUGACACAAAAUCCUCAACAAAAUGCUACCAAACAGAAUUCAACAGCAUAUUUAAAAGAUUCUACACAAUGACUAUGUGAGAUUUAUUUCUGGAAUGUGAGGAUGAUUCAACAGAUGAAAAUCAAUCAAUGUAAUAUAUCACAUUAACAAAUCAAUCAAUGUAGUAUAUCACAUUUACAAAACGAAGGGUAAAAAAAACUCAGUCGUCUCAAUUGAUAUAAAAAAGAACCUGACAAAAUUCAACAACCUUGAAUAAUACAAUAAAAUAACUCAAUAAACUAAGGAUAGAGGGUAACUACCCUAACAUAAUAAAAGCCAUAUAUGAAAAAUUCACAGCUCACGUCAUAUUCAAUGGUGAAAGACUGAAAGCUCUGUCUCCAAUAUCAGAAACAAGACAAUUAUGCCCACUUUUGCCAUUUCUAUUCAACACAGUCCUGGAAGCUUAAGCCAGCACUAUUAGGCAAGAAAAAUCAGUAAAAGGCUACACACUGAAAGAAAGAGGUAAAAUUAUCUCCGUCUGCAGACAUAAUCUUAAGUGUAGAAUGCUUUAAAGAUUUCACCAAUUAUUAUUUUUUAAACUACUAGAACUAACAAAUUCAGCAAAGUUGCAGGAUACAAACUCAACACAAAAGAAGCAGGUGUGUUUCUAUACACUAACAAUGAGCAAUCCAAAAAAAUAAGAAGCAGCAGCCAAUUCCAUUUACAGUAGCACCAAAAAUAAUAAAAUACUUCGGAGUAACUUAACCAAGGUGGUCAAAAAAUUGUAUAUUGAAAACUACAAAACAAUGUUUAAGCAAAUAAGACACAAAUAAAUGGAAAUAUAUUUUUGUUUAUUAGUUAAAAGACUUAAUAUUGUUAACAUAUCAGUACUACCCAAAGCAAUCUAUAGAUUUAUGCAAUUCCUGUCAAAAUACCAGUAGCAUUUUUUGCAGAAAUAGAAAAAUCCAUUUUCAGAUUCAUAUGAAAUCACAGGGGACCCCAAAUAGCCAAAACAAUCUUCUAAAAAAAGAACAAAGAUGGAGGUUUUACAUUUCCUGAUUUCAAAACUUAUUAAAAUGCUAUAUUAAUCAAAACUAUGUGGUACUGGCAUAAAGACAUGCAUAUAGACCAAUGGAAUAGAAUAAGAGAGCUCAGAAAUUAGCUCUCAUACAUAGGGUCAAAUGAUUUUUGGCAAGAGUGUCAAGACUGUUCAAUGGGGAAACAGUGUCUCCUCAACAAAUGAUGCUGGGAAAAUUGGACAUCCAUAUGCAAAAGAAUGAAUUUGGACCUCUAUCUUACACCAUAUACAAAAAUUACGUCAAAAUGGAUCAAAGAUCUAAACUGAAGACCUAAAACUAUAAAAUGCUUACCAGAAAAUAUAGAGGAAAAGCUUUAUGAUAUUAAAUUUGGCAAAGAUUUCCUGGACAUGACACCAAAAACACAGGCAAGAAAAGUAAAAGUAGACAAAUUGAAAUAUAUCAAAAUAUAAAACUUCUGUGCAUCAGAGGACACAAGCAACAGAGUAAAAAGGCAAACUAUGGAAUUAAAGAGAAUAUUUGUAAAUACAUCUGAUAAGGAAUUAAUAUCCAGAAUAUAUUAAGAACUCCUACAACUGAACAACAACAAAAAAAUAACCUGAUUUAAAAAUGGAAAAAAAUCUGAACAGACAUUUUUCAAAAGUGAUAUAUAAACGGAUAUAAAUGGCCAACAAGCAUAUGAAAAGAUAUUCAACAUUGUUAAUCAUUAGGGAAAUGCAAAUCAAAACCAACAAUGAGAUAUCACUCACACCCAUUAGAAUGAAGAAGAAAGAAAAAAAAGAUGGAAGGAAGGAAGAAAAAAAAAGAAAGAAAGAAGGAAAGAAAGACAGGGAAAGAAGAGUUGAUAAAGAUAAGGAGAAAUUGGAACUUUAGUGCACGAUUGGGAAUGUAAAAUGGUGCAGACACAAGGAAAAGAGUGUAGCAGUUUCUAUAUGAUCCAACAAUUCCACUGUUGCACAUAUAUAUGCAAAAUAAUUGAAGGCAAGAUUUCAAAGAGAUAGUUACAUACUCAUAUUCAUAGCAGCACUAUUCACAAUAGCCAAGAGGUAAAACCAACGCAAGUGUCCAUUAAUGGAUGAACAGAUAAGCAAAAUGAGAUCUAUUCAUACAAUGCAAUAUUAAUUAGCCUUCAAAAGGAAGAAAACUCUGACACAGUCAACAACUUGGAUGAAUUUUGAAAACAUUAUGCUAAGUGAAAUAAGCCAGUCACAAAGAGACAAAUACUGUAUGAUUCCACUUAAUAAGAGAUAUCUAGAGUCGUCAGAUUCUUAGAAAUGGAAAGUAGAAUGGUGAUUGCCAGGCACCAGGGCAAGGUGAAAGAAACAGUUGUUAUUUAAUGGGUACAGAGUUUCUGUUUUGCAAAUGAAAAAGUUCUGGAGAUUGGUUGUACAGCAAUGUGCAUAUACUUAAUACUCCUGAAUUAUACAAUUAGAAAUUGUUACAAUGGUAAAUUUUAUAUAUAUUCUUAACCACAAUCGAAUUUUUGAAAAAAGAAUACUAGUGGUGGAAAACCUCUGAAAGAAGGGUAAAAAACUAUGUUAUGGGCAACAAUGAAAAUAAAUUUACACUGAGGCCACAAAUUAUUGAAAUUCAUCUCUGACUUUAAGUCUCAGACCAUGAGCAAGGAAAAUAAAUUCUCUUAAGAAGAUAGGCCCAAAUGACUAAGAGUCAGGUAGAAGCAAUUUGCAAAGCAAGGAAAGAAAUAAUUUCUUGAUGGAGUCAUCUACACUGUGAUGCCAAUCCCUGCACCAGUUUUCGUUGGAGCGUGCCCUCCCCUCUUCAUUAAUCAAAGGUAAUGCAGAAUUACAGAAUGGAAUUACUUGCCAAAGAGUUUUCCAUUUUCUGUCCCUGAGAUGAUGCUGAUUGGAGCGAGAAAAGUUUUCUGAGGACAAAUGCUCACGCUCUUAGCACCAGAGUUUGCUUGUAGCAAAAACAGAAUGCUUAGAGGUGUGCUUUUGUUAUUAUUCUCAGUGGCUCUGGUGAGCCCAGUGCAAUCAGCGAUACUCAUCCAGGCCAAUUCACCAUUAGGGAGCCGCACAUGAAACCAUUUACAUUUCCCAUUUUGUUUCAAGCAAGUCAGGUCUUUAACUGGAUUGUGGUAAUUGAACCUUCCUGUUACAACACUGCUUUUGCUGCCCAACGGAUUCAAAAGCUGCUCUCGUUACAUUUAUUUGAACUUUUAUUUCAUUCAUACUUUAUACCUCUGGUUCUCAAUCUUCAGUCCUGUAGCGAACUCUAUAAAAGGAAAAAGAAAUUCUUACAGACUCUCACAGAUUCAUUUAAAUUCUUUUUUUGUUUUAUUUUAUUAUUAUUAUU